GACGAACGCUGGCGGCGUGCUUAACACAUGCAAGUCGAACGGAAAGGCCCUGCUUUUGUGGGGUGCUCGAGUGGCGAACGGGUGAGUAACACGUGAGUAACCUGCCCUUGACUUUGGGAUAACUUCAGGAAACUGGGGCUAAUACCGGAUAGGAGCUCCUGCUGCAUGGUGGGGGUUGGAAAGUUUCGGCGGUUGGGGAUGGACUCGCGGCUUAUCAGCUUGUUGGUGGGGUAGUGGCUUACCAAGGCUUUGACGGGUAGGCGGCCUGAGAGGGUGACCGGCGACAUGGGGAGUGGGAUACGGCCCGGACUCCUACGGGAGGCAGCUGUGGGGGAUAUUGCACGAUGGGCGCAAGCCUGGUGCAGCAACGCCGCGUGCUGGAUGACGGCCUUCGGGUUGUAAGCCGCUUUCGCCUGUGACGAAGCGUGAGUGACGGUAAUGGGUAAAGAAGCACCGGCUAACUACGUGCCAGCCGCCGCAGUAA
rnacentral:rRNA from 1 species